rnacentral:rRNA from 1 species
GACGUAGGGCGCGAGCGUUGUCCGGAUUUAUUGGGCGUAAAGAGCUCGUAGGCGGCUUGUUGCGUCGGCUGUGAAAACCCGCGGCUUAACCGUGGGCUUGCAGCCGAUACGGGCAGGCUAGAGUUCGGUAGGGGAGACUGGAAUUCCGUGGUGUAGCGGUGAAAUGCGCAGAUAUCAGGAGGAACACCAGUGGCGAAGGCGGCUCACUGGACCGGUACUGACGCUGAGGCGCGAAAGCGUGGGGAGCAAACGGG